GCGAACCGGGAGAACUGAAACAUCUAAGUACCCCGAGGAAAAGAAAUCAACCGAGAUUUUGUGAGUAGCGGCGAGCGAAAGCGAAAGAGCCUGUUAGUGAUAGCGAUAGAGACAGAGGAACAAGCUGGGAAGCUUGGCGAUACAGGGUGAUAGCCCCGUACUCGAAGUCCAGGUCGUGGUACUAAGCUAACGAGAAGUAGGGCGGGACACGUGAUAUCCUGUUUGAAGAUGGGGGGACCAUCCUCCAAGGCUAAAUACUCCUGAUUGACCGAUAGUGAACCAGUACUGUGAAGGAAAGGCGAAAAGAACCCCGGUGAGGGGAGUGAAAUAGAACCUGAAACCUUGUACGUACAAGCAGUGGGAGCCCGCAAGGGUGACUGCGUACCUUUUGUAUAAUGGGUCAGCGACUUAUAUUUUGUAGCGAGGUUAACCGAAUAGGGGAGCCGAAGGGAAACCGAGUCUUAACUGGGCGUCUAGUUGCAAGGUAUAGACCCGAAACCCGGUGAUCUAGCCAUGGGCAGGUUGAAGGUUGGGUAACACUAACUGGAGGACCGAACCGACUAAUGUUGAAAAAUUAGCGGAUGACUUGUGGCUGGGGGUGAAAGGCCAAUCAAACCGGGAGAUAGCUGGUUCUCCCCGAAAUCUAUUUAGGUAGAGCCUUGAGCGGACACCUUCGGGGGUAGAGCACUGUUUCGGCUAGGGGUCCAUCCCGGAUUACCAACCCGAUGCAAACUACGAAUACCGAAGAGUGAUACUCAGGAGACACACGGCGGGUGCUAACGUCCGUCGUGGAGAGGGAAACAACCCAGACCGCCAGCUAAGGUCCCAAAGUCUAUAUUAAGUGGGAAACGAAGUGGGAAGGCUUAGACAGCUAGGAUGUUGGCUUAGAAGCAGCCAUCAUUUAAAGAAAGCGUAAUAGCUCACUAGUCGAGUCGGCCUGCGCGGAAGAUGUAACGGGGCUCAAAUAUAGCACCGAAGCUGCGGCAUCAGACGAAAGUCUGUUGGGUAGGGGAGCGUUCUGUAAGCGGAUGAAGGUGGUUCGAGAGGGCUGCUGGACGUAUCAGAAGUGCGAAUGCUGACAUAAGUAACGAUAAAACGGGUGAAAAACCCGUUCGCCGGAAGACCAAGGGUUCCUGUCCAACGUUAAUCGGGGCAGGGUGAGUCGGCCCCUAAGGCGAGGCUGAAAAGCGUAGUCGAUGGGAAACGGGUUAAUAUUCCCGUACUUGGAUAAACUGCGAUGUGGGGACGGAGCAGGUUAGGUUAUCGCACUGUUGGAUAUGUGCGUUUAAGUUGGUAGGUGGGAAGUUUAGGCAAAUCCGGACUUCCUUAACACUGAGAGAUGAUGACGAGGCUCUACGGAGCUGAAGUAACUGAUACCACACUUCCAGGAAAAGCCACUAAGCGAAAGGCUUUACUAAACCGUACUGAAAACCGACACAGGUGGUCAGGUAGAGAAUACUCAGGCGCUUGAGAGAACUCGGGUGAAGGAACUAGGCAAAAUAGCACCGUAACUUCGGGAGAAGGUGCGCCGGCGUAGAUUGUAAGGGCUUGCCCCUGAAGGUUGAACCGGUCGAAGAUACCAGCUGGCUGCAACUGUUUAUUAAAAACACAGCACUCUGCAAACACGAAAGUGGACGUAUAGGGUGUGACGCCUGCCCGGUGCUGGAAGGUUAAUUGAAGAUGUGAGAGCAUCGGAUCGAAGCCCCAGUAAACGGCGGCCGUAACUAUAACGGUCCUAAGGUAGCGAAAUUCCUUGUCGGGUAAGUUCCGACCUGCACGAAUGGC
rnacentral:rRNA from 1 species